rnacentral:rRNA from 1 species
CGGGAAACCGGAGCUAAUACCGGAUAAUAUAUUGAACCGCAUGGUUCAAUAGUGAAAGACGGUUUUACUGUCACUUAUAGAUGGAUCCGCGCCGCAUUAGCUAGUUGGUAAGGUAACGGCUUACCAAGGCAACGAUGCGUAGCCGACCUGAGAGGGUGAUCGGCCACACUGGAACUGAGACACGGUCCAG